rnacentral:rRNA from 1 species
UACACACCGCCCGUCANACCAUGGGAGUCAGUUGCUCCAGAAACGGCUGCGCUAACCCGCAAGGGGGCAGGUCUUUAAGGAGUGACUGGUAACUGGGGUG